ensembl:lncRNA
UUUAAUGGUUCUAUUUAUAUACAAUUAUAUAUGCAAUUCAAACUCAUCUAUAGUGACAAAAAACUGAACAGUGGUGGUUAGUUGAUUUGGAAUGAAAAGAGGAGUGGGAGGGAAAGACUACCAAAGGAUUAAAGAAAAAUGGAGGAGAUGGAUAUAUUCAGUAUCUCAGCCUCCUGAGUCGCUGGGACUCUAGGCAUGUGGCAGCUUGCUUAAUUUUUUUGUUAGUAUUAAUUUUUAAGACAAGGUCAUGCUAUGUUGCCUAGGUUCGUCUCCAACUCCUGACCUCAAGGGAUCCUUCUGCCUCAGCCUUUCAAAGCACUGGGAUGUCAGGUGUGAGCCACCACUCCUGGCCACAUAUGCUUCUCUCCAGCAAGAAAGCCCUCUUCAGAUGCUGACCCCUGUUUCUUGGACUUCCCAGCCUCCAGAAUUGUAAGAAAUAAACUUUUGUUCUUUAUAAAUUAAUCAAUCUUAUUUCUGUUUCUUAUAAAUUACUCAGUCUUAGAUAUUCUGUUACAGUAGCACCAAGUGGACUAAGACAGUAAUUCUGUAUACUCACAAAGAUUACUGGUAAGGAAGUGAAUAUGUUAAGACAGAAACUUCAGUAAAAUUAAAAUGUUAUAGGGCAUGAUGCUAGUUUAUUUUGUUAUAUGUAUACAGUGAGAAUAAUGUAUUACAUGCUGCAAAAUAUAUUUAGAAAGCAAUAUGUGUGUUAUGUGAUGCACUCUUACUCUGGGCUAAGAACACUUACCCACCCCAUUGGUUUCACCACAUGGCUUCCUUUGACCAGUGGAAUGAUAUUGUGAUAUGAACUGAGGCUUUUAAUGAAUUCAGCCAGUUUAACUUACUACUUGCCUCUGGUGAACCUGCUUGAGAAGAGGAUGUCCAAGUGGCCUGGAGCCUGGGCUUCUGCAAUAGGAAUAAUAAGGGUCCCCCAAAGUCAUCUAUGCCCUAGUCUUAAGAAUAUGUGAAUAUGUUAUCUUUCAUGACAAAAACAAAACAAAACAAAACAAAAAAACCUUGCAAAUGUAAUUAAGAAUCUUGAGAUGAGAUUAUCUUUGAUUAUGUGGACGGACUCAAUGUAAUCACAAUGGUUAUAAGAAGAAAGAAGGAUACUCAGAUAAAGAGAGCGAAGGAGAUGUGAAGACAGAGGCAGAGACUGGUGUGACACUAAGAAAGGGCUACUAGCCAAGGAAGAUGGGUAGACUUUAGAGACUGGAAAAGAUAGAAAACCACAUUCUCCCUUAGAGGCUGUGGAAAUAACAUAGUCCUAUCAACACUUAGUUUUUAAACCUCUUAACUGCCGUUAAGUAUGAGAUAAUAAAUUUUAAGUGGUUUAAGUCAAUAAAUGUGUAGUAAUAUUUUUUUUUUUUUGAGAUGGAGUCUCGCUCUGUCUCCCAGGCUGGAGUUGGAGUUGCAGUGGUGCAACCUCUGCCUCCUGGGUUCAAGAGAUUCUCCUGCCUCAGCUUCCUGAGUAGCUGAGAUACAGGCAUGUGCCACCACGUCUGUCUAAUUUCUUUGCAUUUUUAGUAUAGACGAGGUUUCACCCUCUUAGAAAGGCUGGUCUCUAACUCCUGACCUUGUGAUGUGACCACGUUGGGCUCCCAAAGUGCUGGGAUUACAGGUAUGAGCCACUGCACCUGGCAGUGUGUGGUAAUUUGUUAGAACAACAACAGGAAGCUAACAAAGCAUCCAAGAACACAUAAGACAGAGACCUGAACCGAAGAGCCUGGGCCCAGGCCCACCAGGUUUUGGUCUAAAACAGAGCCAUCCUCGAUAAGCCAUAAAAGUUUAUUUGUGAAGUUGAAAUUAUCUUUUUCUCUCUUUGACUUUCUAUGUAAGAUAUAUAUAUAUAAAAUAUAUUAUAUAUAUACAUAAUAUAUAUUAUAUAUAUAAAUAAAUAUAUAUCUUUAUAUUAUCUAUAUA